rnacentral:rRNA from 1 species
UACAGAGGGCGCAACCGUUGUUCGGAUUCAUUGGGCGUAAAGGGCGCGUAGGCGGUCGUGCAAGUCGGAUGUGAAAUCUCAGGGCUCAACCCUGAAACUGCAUUCGAUACUGCGCGGCUAGAGUGCUGGAGGGGAGACUGGAAUUUACGGUGUAGCAGUGAAAUGCGUAGAUAUCGUAAGGAAGACCAGUGGCGAAGGCGAGUCUCUGGACAGCAACUGACGCUGAGGCACGAAGGCCAGGGGAGCAAACGGG